rnacentral:rRNA from 1 species
UACGUAGGUGGCAAGCGUUGUUCGGAAUUAUUGGGCGUAAAGGGCGCGUAGGCGGUUUGUUAAGUCAGCUGUGAAAGCCCGGGGCUCAACCCCGGAGGGUCAGCUGAUACUGGCAGACUAGAGGCAUGCAGGGGGAGAACGGAAUUCCUGGUGUAGCGGUGAAAUGCGCAGAUAUCAGGAGGAACACCGGUGGCGAAGGCGGUUCUCUGGGCAUGUCCUGACGCUGAGGAGCGAAAGUGUGGGGAGCGAACAGG